GGACGGGUGAGUAAUGUCUGGGGAUCUGCCCGAUAGAGGGGGAUAACCACUGGAAACGGUGGCUAAUACCGCAUAACGUCUCACGACCAAAGAGGGGGACCUUCGGGCCUCUCACUAUCGGAUGAACCCCGAUGGGAUUAGCUAUUAGGCGGGGUAAUGGCCCACCUAGGCGACAAUCCCUAGCUGGUCUGAGAGGAUGACCACCCACACUGGAACUGAGACACGGUCCACACUCCUACGGGAGGCAGCAGUGGGGAAUAUUGCACAAUGGGCGCAAGCCUGAUGCAGCCAUGCCGCGUGUAUGAAAAAAGCCUUCGGGUUGUAAAGUACUUUCAGCGGGGAGGAAAGCGAUGCGGUUAAUAACCGCGUCGAUUGACGUUACCCCCACAAAAAACACCGGCUAACUCCGUGCCAGCAGCCGCGGUAAUACGGAGGGUGCAAGCGUUAAUCGGAAUUACUGGGCGUAAAGCGCACGCACGCGGUCUGUUAAGUCAGAUGUGAAAUCCCCGGGCUUAACCUGGGAACUGCAUUUGAAACUGGCAGGCUUGAGUCUCGUAUAGGGGGGUAGAAUUCCACGUGUAUCGGUGAAAUGCGUAGAGAUCUGGAGGAAUACCGGUGGCGAAAGCGGCCCCCUGGACAAAGACUGACACUCACGUGCGAGAGCGUGUGGAGCACACAGGAUUAUAUACACUGGUAGUCCACGCCGUAUACGAUGUCUACUUGUAGGUUGUUCUCUUGAGGAGUGUCUUCCGGAGCUAACGCGUUAAGUCUACCGCCUGUGGAGUACAGCCGCACGGUUAUAACUCUCAUGAAUUGACAGGGGCGCGCACANCCGGUGGAGCAUGUGGUUUAAUUCUAUGCAACGCGAAGAACCUUACCUACUCUUGACAUCCAGCGAACUUGUCACAGAUGCCUUGGUGCCUUCUGGAACACUCAGACAGGUGCUGCAUGGCUGUCGU
rnacentral:rRNA from 1 species